AAAAAGGUAAGCUAAAUAAAGCUAAUGGGUUCAUACCCCGUAAAUAGGACUAUCCUCCUUUUUA
rnacentral:tRNA from 1 species